UACGUAGGGUGCAAGCGUUGUCCGGAAUUAUUGGGCGUAAAGGGCUCGUAGGAGGUUUGUCGCGUCGGGAGUGAAAACCAGGUGCUUAACACCUGGCUUGCUUUCGAUACGGGCAGACUAGAGGUAUUCAGGGGAGAACGGAAUUCCUGGUGUAGCGGUGAAAUGCGCAGAUAUCAGGAGGAACACCGGUGGCGAAGGCGGUUCUCUGGGAAUGACCUGACGCUGAGGAGCGAAAGUGUGGGGAGCGAACAGG
rnacentral:rRNA from 1 species